rnacentral:snRNA from 1 species
GUGCUGCGGCGGCCCGUAUACUUAAUUUGGACUGCAUCCGAGGAGAUAUCAUGGCCCUGCGCAAGGAUGACUCGCAUAUUCGUGAUGCAUUCCAUAUUUUU